rfam:Jeotgalicoccus sp. 13MG44_air genome assembly, contig: CONTIG000001
CGUAAACAUCAACCGCACAUAUAUAGGUCGAAGCGGAUAUAUCCCACCUAUAGUGGCGUGUCUUUAAAUAAUA